rnacentral:misc_RNA from 1 species
AAUUCUCAACCUCAUCAGUUUUGUUAUGAGACUCUUUGUGAGGCUUGGAUGUGGGGGUUUCUGCAGGCUGCCUCAGUGCGGUCUGCUCCCCUGAAAUGCAUUAGCGAGUUCACUGAGCUCCGUCUAUUGGUGUGAUAAUUAUCUACGCCGUGGAUUGGGCUUAGACUAGCUUCUAACCGUCCGAAAGGACAAUCUUUGACA